UACGGAGGUGGCAAGCGUUGUUCGGAAUUACUGGGCGUAAAGCGCGUUCAGGCGGCCGCGCAAGUCGGGCAUGAAAUCUCUCGGCUCAACCGGGAGAGGCUGUCCGAUACUGCGUGGCUUGAGGGCAGUAGAGGGUGGUGGAAUUCCGGGUGUAGUGGUGAAAUGCGUAGAGAUCCGGAGGAACACCAGUGGCGAAGGCGGCCACCUGGACUGCCCCUGACGCUGAAACGCGAAAGCUAGGGGAGCGAACGGG
rnacentral:rRNA from 1 species